rnacentral:lncRNA from 12 species
CCCAAGAAGGACAACUGGAAUAGGUGCCGCUGAAGAGAUAGCAUGAUUUUCUCUAUCAAAGUGCAGCAAAUAAUGGAGGUGGACAUUUCUUCAUCUCCACUGAUUAUAGAACCUUCAGGAUCCUGAAUCAGUAUCAAAGAGGCAUUCAUAGGUAAAGAUAAUUGUUAUACAAUCUGCUCUCCUUUUCUGCCACCAUGUGAAGCUGGAUUCACUCCCUACAACUUUAUUGACAUAUAUUUUUGUCCCAAUGUUCUCAAAGUUAAAAUUUAAACAAGUCAUUCCAAAAAUAAAAUUCUGGAAAACAUAUUUUG